rnacentral:rRNA from 1 species
CCUACGGUGGGCUGCAGUGAGGAAUAUUGGUCAAUGGCCGGGAGGCUGAACCAGCCAAGUCGCGUGAGGGAAGACGGCCCUACGGGUUGUAAACCUCUUUUUUCAGGGAGCAAUGUGCAGGUCGGGACCUGCUUUUAGAGUACCUUAAGAAAAAGCAUCGGCUAACUCCGUGCCAGCAGCCGCGGUAAGACGGAGGAUGCGAGCGUUAUCCGGAUUGAUUGGGUUUAGAGGGGGCGCAGGCGGAGGCACAAGUCAGCGGUAAAGUGACGGGGCUCAACCCCGCUCCGCCGUGGAAACUGUUUGCCUAGAGUGCGCGAAGGGUAGGCGGAAUGCGUGGUGUAGCGGUGAAAUGCAUAGAUAUCACGAAGAACUCCGAUCGCGAAGGCAGCCGACCGGCGCGCAACUGACGCUCAUGCACGAAAGCGUGGGUAUCGAACAGGAUUAGAUACCCUAGUAGUC